GUAGGGAAUAUUGGGCAAUGGUCGGAAGACUGACCCAGCCAUGCCGCGUGCAGGAAGACGGCCCUCUGGGUUGUAAACUGCUUUUAUCUGGGAAGAAAAAGGCCAUGCGUGGCAAAUUGCCGGUACCAGAUGAAUAAGCACCGGCUAACUCCGUGCCAGCAGCCGCGGUAAUACGGAGGGUGCGAGCGUUGUCCGGAUUUAUUGGGUUUAAAGGGUGCGUAGGCGGCUGAUUAAGUCAGCGGUGAAAGACUUCGGCUUAACCGGAGCAGUGCCGUUGAUACUGGUUGGCUUGAGUGUCGGAGGGGUACAUGGAAUUGAUGGUGUAGCGGUGAAAUGCAUAGAUACCAUCAGGAACACCGAUAGCGAAGGCAUUGUACUGGCCGACAACUGACGCUGAUGCACGAAAGUGUGGGGAUCAAACAGGAUUAGAAACCCUUGUAGUCC
rnacentral:rRNA from 1 species